UGUUUUAAAUGGAGUGUGCUGGA
rnacentral:piRNA from 1 species